CAGACUCGCCAAACUGCUGCCCCGAGCGGCCGAGCCCCCCCCCCCCCCCCCCCCCCCGACCUCGAAAUCCUCCGUCUUCCUCCUCGCCGUGUCGGGCCUCGCCUUGCAUCGUCCCCAAAUCCAACCCAAACUCCUCAAUCUCCGUCACUGGCAUGGCGUCCGAUACCGAGGGCAUCGCCGCCCUCUUCUCAAUGUACAACGACGACGAGGAAGAUGAGGACGCCGACGAGCCCAACCCUCCGUCCCCAGCGCCGCUCACCACCGUCACCUCCUCGUCGCCGCUGUCCCCUCAAGCCGGGGGCGAGGACCCUAACCCUUCCCUGGCGCCUCCGUCGCCUCCCCGUCCCGAGGAGUCGGCCAGUCUCAAAACCCUAGUGAGUCCCCACCCUUCCCCGGCGCGGGCGCUGCUACCGCCACUUCCCUCGCGGCGCUCUUCGUCGCCCUUCGCAGCGUCGCCCCCCUCUCCGCUACGGGGACCAUCCUCCGCGCCGCCAGCCGACCUGCCGCGCCCGCCCCGGCGCGGGGCGCUUGCAAUCGUGGACUAUGCGCACGACGAGAUGGCUAUGUCGCCCGAGCAGGAGGAUGGGGAGAUCAUGAGCCACACAUACAGAUUCGUUUCAGAUGCUCAGGCUGCAGAGGGGAAUCUUGAAGAACGAACUCUCUCUGGCACAGUUCAUAUCAUGACACCAAAUACUCCAGCAGAAUUGUCUCAGCAUGCUGAUGCACCUGAGCAGAACCAAUUAGGGACAGACAUGGCAGUGGAUAUAACUAGAGCAGAAAUUGAAGACGCCCAGGUGGAGGAAACUACUGAUAUUUCAACUAAUGGUGAAAAUGAUGAUCCAUUGAGUCGUUUCCUUCCUCCACCCGUGACUACAAAAUGCUCUGCAGCAUUAAAGGUUAUCCUACUAUCAAAUGAUUAUGAUACCUGUUUUUUCACCAUAAACAACCUAGUCAUGUUUCCAUACAGAAUAUCAGCUUAUGGUGGAACGUCCUCUACUCUUCCUUAUUAUUGUCAUUGAUGAACUCCAUUAUCUACAUUAAAAAUUGAUAAAAUUAUCAUGUCCUGUAAUGUGAAGGCAAAGCUGAACAUCUGCAUCAUACAUUUCCACACCUGUAUCUGUUAACAAGAUAUUGUCAAGAAUAGGCUCAGUCCUAUGUGAUGGCUUUACUUUAUGGGACAAUUGUGAUUAUACCCUUCAUUCAUUGACCUUGCAAUUGUGAUUUAACCUCCAUUUUUCAACUUUGUGAUUUUACCCCUCCGUUUCGAAAAUGAAGCUACCGUUUGCCCGUCCCUCUCAACGCCGAGUGAAAAUCAGGUUUAUUGUUUUAAAAAAUAAAAAUAUGAAAACAAAGGGUGAAAGGUUCGAACCACCCUCCUAUUCUGUAAGGGCGCAACACCAACAGGGGUAAAAUCACAAUUACAUAAUAUAAUGAGGGGUAAAACCACAAUAAAUUGUGUGGGCAUUUUUGCAUCAGAUUUAACACUGUGUGCUGCACAUAAUGGUGCAUGGGUAUGACAGCUUCGUUUUCAAAACGGAGGAGUAAAAUCACAAAGUUGAAAACGAGGUGCAAAAUAACAAUUGCAAGGUCAGAGAGAGUCGUUUUCUCUUCUCAAGUUUUGUGAAAGCAUCAUGAUGAGGUUCCUAUUCAGGCAAUAUUUACACUAGGAAUGUGUCUACACACCUUCACAUUAAUUCCUGUGUUGGUUCUUACAGCCAGUAUUUACUUAAAACUCAUCAUCUGUUGUUUUCUGUUUUUCUGCAGCAAAAAAUUAACAAAUUCCUUGCAUACAAAAGGGCCGGAAAGAGCUUUAAUGCUGAAGUGCGCAACAGGAAGGACUAUAGAAAUCCUGACUUUUUGCAGCAUGCUGUGCGAUACCAAGAAAUUGAUCAGAUAGGGACCUGUUUCAGUAAAGAUGUUUUUGAUCCUUAUGGGUACGAUAAAGGUGACUACUAUGAUGAGAUAGAAGCUGAAAUGAAGCGUGAACUUGAGAGAAAGGAACAGGAGAAGAAAAGGAAUCCAAAAGUUGAAUUUAUUACUGGAGGAGUACAAACUCCACAUAGUGCAUCAAUACCGAAGAUCCCAGGUUUGGCGGGUGUCUGUACACUACCGGUACCUACAGAAGGUGUACAGAAAGAGACUAGGCCAAACAAGAAAUCAAAAUGGGAUAAGGUUGAUGAUGAUGUUAAGAAUCAUGUAGUUCCUAGUGGACACGACAACUUAUCAGCAACUGCUUCUGUGGCACUCCUGACUUCAGCUAAUGUUGGUGCUGGAUAUGCUGCUUUUGCGCAACAAAAGAGAAAAGAAGCUGAAGAAAAGAGAAGCGAUCAUAAGUCAGACAGAAGAUCGUAGCACCACUUUUUUUUUUUCAUUCUGAGCAGUCAGCGUAUCAUUUAGUUUUUCAGUAACAUAGUUUUGUAUUGUGGGUAAGGAAAAGAAGGAAACAGUUAAAAUCAGUCCGAGGGAAAUGGUUCCAGAAAAGCCCCUCAGAGCGACUUGUUGUCUUAUACAGGUAUCAGAAACUUAACGUUUUAGGCCAAGAAAAAGAGAACAGUGAGCGUUCUGCACUUCUGCCCCCCGUUACGGUGGACAAUUACUCCUGUCCUAAAAAGAAUGCACCAAAAUUGAAUGCAAGUAAGUUGCCCGCCA